rnacentral:rRNA from 1 species
GAAACACGGACCAAGGAGUCUAACAUGUACGCGAGUCGAAGGGACUACCAUAUCCUAUAGGCGCAAUGAAAAUAAAACUGAGGCAUGCUCUCACCUUUACAGGGAACUGCUAGUAGCCUAACUUCGCUGGAUAUCCUAAUAAAACUUUGCCCGUUCCUAGUCCUCCGUUUCGAACGUCGAGAUGCUAGUAGGGGCAAAGAAAGGGGGUAUUCCGGGUAGGACAAAACUACGAAGGUAGUAUACCUACAUAGGGUGAUGUAGCGCGUUCUCAUUUUGCUAUUUAUAGCAUGUUUUUCGAUGGCUGAUCCUAUACCCGUUUAAUCGCGGGAGGCGCAAGCCGGGGGUCCCAAUAGAGCUCUUUCCUCGGUACGGGCUGGUUUUAUACUCGCUUUGGAAAAGGAUAGAGGUCUAUGGGGCUCUUUGAGCGUACAUGUUAGUACCCGAAAGAUGGUGAUCUAUGCGUGACCAGGCCGAAGCCAGAGGAAACUCUGGUGGAAGGCCGUCGCGUUUCUGACGUGCAAAUCGAUUG